AAAGUAACGGGUAAUCCAAUCCAAUCCCUGUCCAUUUCUUAUAAUCUUUCCAUGGCUUCUCUAUUAGCCCUCUCUUCUCCCUUUCCUUCAACAACUAUGCCAAUCCUCCAUUAUCCUUCCUCUUCCUUUAAGGUACUAAUUGAUCCUCUCUAUCUCCUUGUAUUCAAGAAUUAUUAACACCUUCUUAUAUCUCCAAAUUAAUUAAAUGCUACAAUAUAAAAAAACCAAGAAAUCCCAAUUUGGGAUUCCAUAAAGUUAUGAUUUUUCCACUUUCUGGACUAAUCAGAGCAACAUGAGAACUUUGAAGCUAAUUCCAACUCCAUUUCCUAGUAUAAAACUGUUCCACCAAAAAACCAGAGCAAAAUCACGACUAAUUGCACUCAAUUCAGGAGCUUCUUCUGUUGAAGAAUCUUCUACAACUACACAGAGCGUUCGGUUUGGGCUCAAUAACUUGGGUCCUCAACCCGGGUCCCAAAAGAAGGCGAAGAGAAAGGGAAGAGGUCACGCUGCUGGACAAGGGGGCAGCUGUGGGUUUGGAAUGACGGAGUCCGAAAAGGGUUUGAAGGUUGCUAAAUGCCGCUUUACCAGAGAAUUCCUAAGUUGAGAGGGAUUGCUGGAGAACGAAGUCGUUCCGUACGCUGGAACUCUUAGCGCCUCUUCUCCAACUUCAGAACUCUGAAGGCUUAUAGGUGAAGACAUGCAUGUGGGACUACCAAAAUAUAUCCCGGUGAACUUAAAAGAUAUUGAAGCUGCUGAAUUCCAAGAGGGAGAAGAGGUCUCCCUGGAGUCCUUGAAUAAGAAGGGUCUAAUCAACCCUUCAGGAAGAGACUGGAGACUUCCUUUAAAGGUGAUGGAGAACUGAGUGUGAAAUUAAACUUCAAGGCUCGUGCCUUGUCGACUGCAGCAAAGGAGAAGCUUGAGGCUGCAGGUUGUUCCUUGACUGCUCUUCCCGGUCGAAAGAAGUGGGUGAAGCUAUCCGUCGUAAAGAACCUUGCAUGUGCUGAAGAAUACUUUGCCAAAAAUAGGGCUGCAACGGACUCAUCCGUCUCCCCUUCUGCUUAAAGCCCAAACUUGUGUGGAAUUGUCACUUAUGAGAGAGGUAGAGCAAUAUUCAAUGAAUUUGGGGAACCUUUUAUUCCAUUCAGAAUAUUUGUUUCUUUCUUUGGUGCUUUUCAUUAAAUCAAUUGAGAAUUUAUUUA